UAAAUAAAUUUUUUAUGAUUUAUUAAAUUUAAUUUAAAUUUAUUUUACAUGUAAAUUUUAGUAUUAAUUUUUAAUUAUUUUAAUAAUAAUUAUUUAUAGUUGCAGUAAUUAAAAUUAAAAAUUUAAGAAAUUAAGAUUUAGUAAUAUUUAGUUUAUUAUUAACAAAUUUUGUGCCAGCAGUUGCGGUUAUACAAAAAAUGAUUUAAAUUUUAAUUAGUAAAUAAUUAAUAAUAAUUUAUUUAAAUUAAAUAUUAAAUUAUUAGGUGAAAUUUUAAUUUAAUUAAAAUUUAUGUUAUUUUUAUGAUUUAUUAAAUUUUAUAUAAAACUAGGAUUAGAUACCCUAUUAUUAAAAAAUAAAUUUUAUAAUACUAAAAUAGUAGAUAAUAAUUUAUUGAAACUUAAAUAAUUUGGCGGUAUUUUAGUUCAUUUAGAGGAAUCUGUUUAAUAAUUGAUAAUCCACGAAUAAAUUUACUUAAUUUAUUAUUUUGUAUAUCGUUGUUAUAAAAAUAUUUUUUAAUAAAAAUAAUAUUUAAAAAUUUUUAUAUAAAAAUUAAUUCAGAUCAAGAUGCAGAUUAUAAUUAAGAAUAUAAUGGAUUACAAUAAAUAAAUUUAAAUGAAUAAUAUUUUUUAAUAUAUAUUUGAAGGUGGAUUUAAAUGUAAUUUUAAUUAGUUUAUUAAAAUGAUUAUAAUUUAAAAUAUGUACAUAUUGCCCGUCGCUUUCAUUAAUAAAUUGGAAUAAGUCGUAACAAAGUAGAGGUACUGGAAAGUGUUUCUAGAAAGAU
rnacentral:ncRNA from 1 species